UUUCAGGGUUCUAGAACCUUCCCUCUACUCUCCCAGAUCCCAUCCACUGUAAAGCCACGGAGCCUGGCUUUCACUGGGCCAUCAGCAGAGGGUGGAUUCCCUCAGGAUCUCAUCAGAGUCCUGGGGGUAAGGACUGAAACCAUCUCCCAGGAGGACGAAGCUCUAGCAUUCUGGACAGCUGACCAAGGACCCAUCCCUAACAAUCACCAAGUCCUUUCUUAUUUAUCUUGUUUUUUUGGUUUUGUUCUUUUGAGACAUCUUCUCACUAUGUAGCCUUGGCUGGCCCAGAGCGUGCUCUGUCCAUCAGGCUCGGCUCAGCAGAUCAACCCACCUCUGCUUCCUGAGUGUUGGUAUUAAAGGCUUUGCCCCACUAUGCCUAGCCUUUUGAAAAAUACAUCUCUACUGAAAUGAAAGGGUAACACAAGACCAGCGCUUUAUUCCAGGCCCCACAGGGCUCCACUCAGGCCUUCACCCCACACCCUGCCGUUGCCUUGG
rnacentral:lncRNA from 1 species